rnacentral:tRNA from 1 species
GCAUUGGUCGUAUAGUGGUGAGCAUAGCUGCCUUCCAAGCAGUUGACCUGGGUUCCAUUCCUGGUCAACACA